UAUCUACAUGUGUGUGUGUGGUGUAUGUGUGUGACUAUGAAUAGAUGUGUAUUGUGAUAGCUUGUAUAAGUGAGUUUGGUGGGGGCGGGCACACACACACACACACGCAAAUGUGCGUAUAUAAUGCACACAGAUUUUAUGCGUGUGUAUGUGGGCGUGUACGUUAUGUAUUUGUGUGUGUGGACGUGGUUGUGUGCUGUGUGUCAUUAAGUAUCUGAUCCUGACAUCAAGCAGCAGCAGCGGCAAUAGAAAGUUGGUCACUUAGCACCAACUCUAUCAUUAGGAGAGAGUGUGGAUGGUCUCUCGUUCCCUGCUCCUUUUUCUUUCUUUUUUUUUUAUUUGAGGAAAUCACAAACGUCCCAGAGAAAAACGAAACAAAACAUACAUCUUCUCCGUAGUCAACAAGUUCGCAAAUCCGAAGAUUUUCUUCUCCAUAUCUCAUUUAUAACAUUCGGUCUGUUUCGUUCGGUCAUUGGUUUUUUUUCUUCUCCUUUUGGGUUUGCCGCCUUGCUUCAUUUCGCGACUAUCACCUGUUGUGACAGUAUAAAACAAUGGAGACAUCGCGUGAGCAAUAUGUUGAUAGAGAUGAAUGGCCACUGCCUGAUUCCACAGCAGCAACCGGAAUCAUAAUAACCACAGUAUCAUUUUUAUUUUUCCAAAUUACAGCUUUCAUUGUGGACCGCUACCUAAAGACAUCAUCUUUUCUUAACAACCCAAAACUGCACUGGCGAUGGAAAAAUGUGUUUAUUUCGUUUACUCACGCCGCUAUCGUUUCUGUUUGCUGUUUAACGAGCUUCUAUUUAACUCCAAAGCUUACAGCAGAUAUGAUCUCAACACACACCCCUUUAUCACAUGGCACAGUGGCACUAUCUGCAGGUUACUUCCUCCAUGAUAUUGUAGAUAUGGUCGUAUAUGACUGGUCCCGAAAAUCUUUAGAGCUUUUAAUCCAUCAUGUUGUGAUUCUAAUUGCUUUCUCAUUCCCUGUUCUAACAUACAAAAGCGUCGGCUACAUGCUUGUGGCGCUUCUAGUUGAGGUCAACUCCAUCUUUCUUCACUUCCGCCAGUUACUGAGAAUACAUAAAGUUGAUAAAAAGUCAUCAUUAUACAGACUUACCAGCCUUCUUAAUUUAGGUACCUUCAUCAUAUUCCGUAUUGCAGCGCUCUGCUGGAUGACUCGGUGGAUCGUCAUCAACAAAACCCAAGUGCCGUUUUUCUUUUAUGUCCUUGCAAACAUCGGCCUAACCACGACCACUGUGAUGAACAUUGUCCUCUUCUAUCGUUGUCUCAAAAGUGAUUUUAUUUGCCAUGCCAAUACAUCCACCACAAACGUGAAGCUCGAAUAGACAUGCAGCUUCUUACACAAGAAAUGAUGAUAUAUUGUUGUUGUUAAUAUCAUCAUCAUCAUCAUCAUUAUUAUUAUUAUUAUUAUUAUUAUUAUUCAAAUCUAGCCAAGAUCAUUUUUGCCUUUUUUGCUUGCAAGCUCAAGAAAAUAAGUACCAGUCAAAUAUUGGGGACUGAUUUAAUCAACUCCAUCCACUCCCUUAUUGUUGCAUAGCUGGUAGAGCAUCGGAAAAAAGUGCAUUGUGAUAUUUCUUCCAAUUCUUUAUUUUCUGAAUUCAGCUUCUGCCAAGGGCAAGUAUUGUUGUCCAUAGCAUUGACAAUUCCCCCCCUCUCCUCAAAAUUGCUGGCUUUGUGGCUAAGUCAAACGCCAAUAUUAUUUAAAGGUAGCAAGCAAGCUGGCAGAGUUGAUAGUGCUAGAGUUGCAGUAUUUGUUCUGCUUUUUUUUAACCUUCUGAGAUUCAAUUCCCACUGGGGUUGACUUUGAUUUUUACCCCUCAAAUGUCAAUAAAAUAAAUUACCAAUCAAGAACUGAUGUUGGUAGUAUCGACCAACUUGCACCCUUCGAAGUUGCUAGCCUUGUGCCUAAGUUAUACUUUGCCUUCCAUCCUUUCAGGGUCAAUAAAAUAAUCACCAAUCAAGUACUGGGGUUGAUGUAAUCAACUUCCACCUCCCUUCAGAGGAGGUGCCAAAAUUUCAAACCUUUAUUAUUAUUAUUAUUAAAACACUAUGGCUGAAAUACGUUGCAGUCACACGAUUAGUUGAAGGUUAAAACGAAGAGAAAGAGGAAGAAGGAAGUGUUAACAACAUGAGGUAGGAGAAAGUAAUAGUUAUUAUGCUAAGAUGUUGUUGAGUGGUUGGUUCAAGAUGCUUAGUGGCAUUUCAUCCAUCAUUACAUUCCGAGUUCAAAUUCUGCCGAGGUCAGCUUUACCUUUUUUCCUUUUGGAGGUCAAUAAAUUAAGUACUCGUUGAGUACUGGGGU